rnacentral:lncRNA from 1 species
CACGGCCCCCCGAGGGCGCUCGGCCCCUCCCUCCGGCGGAGGCCGGGACAGCAGCGAGUGGAGAUGGGGAGCGCCGGGGGCGAGGCCCUCCCACGGGCUGCGGCGCGGCCCUUCCAGGGGGAGGUCCUGCUCUGGGGGGCUCAGUCCCUCAGCCCCCCCAGGCCAACGGGGGCUCCUCGGGCGCAGGGUGCUCAGCUUUUGCCCGGGCCCCACUCAGUCCCGGGACGAGCGCGUGCAAAGCACGACGGGAGUUGUAGUUCUCCAAAUUCUAGCACUAUCGUGGGAAAAGUGGGACACAAGGGCCAGCCGGUACUACAAAUACGAUGGCGAGAAGGAUGCCACGCUGGAAGCCGAGCAUGGCGGGAAUUAUAGUCCAGUUGACCCGAGACUCCCCGUAGCAGGACAUAGAGAAGGAGCGGGAAGAAUGACUACAAGCAAGAUGGCCUUUUCCCCCGACCCGACCUCCUUUCCAGGCACUCACACGCCCUCUGGUCCACAACCCUCCGCGCGUGUGGUACCUGACGGGAGUCGCAGUCCAGCUGCUGCCUUCCCGCUGCCAUUUCUACUCAUCAGGAACAAUGGAAAGGUGAAAAGAAACGAGGACUACAAGCAAGAUGGCGAUCGAGGGGCGUACACCUAAUAAGUCGAUCUUAUGAAGUGGGAUGGGAAUAGUAGUUUUCUAGCCUUCCUAUGUUCCUUUAAGAAUGCCAGAACCGGGAGGAUAAAGAGACUACCGUAAAGAUGGCAGGAUA